rnacentral:lncRNA from 1 species
GAUUCUUCAAAAGCAAUUAUAAGUGUUUGUUAAAAAAUUUAAAAAUCUAAAAACAACUUUAAGGUGAUUAUAUGAAACUGAAAAUGGGGUCUAAAAGCUGUAAUUUUAAGCUGGUUUGAAGGUACUUUGAAGCAGAUUCUUAUGUCAUUAAAGUAUUUAAAAACAAAAACAUCCAUACUAAUUAUUUUUAUAGGUUCCAACGUAAGUUAUGUAACUCGACAACCCAUAUAAACCCGUGAACCUAUGCAUAUAAUAAUUUGUAUUGAUCGUGGGAGAAUAAAGAUUUAGUAUGAUUAAUAGAUUAAGAAAGUUUUUAUCGUUUUUGCUUAUGUUUAAAAUUAAAACAAGUUAUUUAAAUUUAAUCGUGUCAACCGUGUCAAAUUCGGCUUCACACAAUCAUUAACAUGUCGAAUUAUGAAAAAAUAUGACAUGUUAAGCAAACAUAUCAAGUUAGAUUUGAAAAAUUAUCAACAGGAACAAAACUACUCGACACGAUGCGAUGCCUAGCCAUGUAUGACUACAAUAAUUUUACAAUACUUCUUUUCUUGUUAGCAGUUGGCAUUAAUAUCCUCAAAGUAUUGACCGAUUCUUACUUUGGCUCUCAAAUAAAUAAAAUUUUCACUUUGGACUCUUUACUCUUGAAUUGCUUGCAAUCAAGCCCAGUCACUAGCUUUUGUCUAAUUCUCUAACAAAAAAUUAGACAUGCGCACCACAUGGAUUUGGACCCAAACUCUAACCUUAACACUCUCUGAGGGCCAUGGCUCAAAAAUAUUUUUAUUUUUUUCCCAGAAAAUUAACAAAGUGAAAAACUUAUUCCACUCAAAUUCAUUCAUCGUAGACCGACCAAUAAUUUAUAAUUAAUUAGUAUUUUUUGUCAAUUUCGUUUGGCUAAAAAUAUAAAUAGAAUGUCCAAUUUUUGGAGUCACCACUUAGUUCUAGGUACAAGGAAACCAUAAAAAUAUACUGAUUUUGUGAAUAUAACUAGUCCCAAUCAUCCCCAAAGAUAGAUCUAGGGGUUAACAUACUGAGUGGGAAGAUGUUAGGCACUCAUUCGACCUAACUAUUAUGGUUGAGCUCUACUCAACACUUUAAAAUUUUAUUUUAAAAUUAAAUACCUAAGCUCUUGUGAAUGCAUGAACCAUUAAAGAUACAACAUGCAAAUACAAAAAAUUAACAUAUAAAAAGAUAAAAAAAAAAAAAGAAAGAAAAUCACCCCAAAAUCCGAAAAAUCUAAGAUUUAUCUAUCCCCUAAAGAAACAUGCUUAUUACAAGGCUUUUUCAUAAUUUUUCUUACAUCACAAGAGACAACGAUUAAUAUCGAUUUCUAGGGUUUUAACCGUUUUGCUAUACCCAUAAAAAAAUUAAAAUAAAAAAGUAAGAGAGCACAAUAAAAAAAAAAAGAAAAGGAAGUAGCUAAAAAAACUACAUCGUGAAAAAUUUUAUUUUACCUUCUCUUUCAUUUCAUUAACUUUCGGCUUCCGCUGUUGGAUCACUCUGCGCUACCCUCGUGUUUGAGCUUCGAAUGUGAAUUUCAGACAAUCUUCGUGAACUUUCCGAAUGCGUUCUUCAUAUCAAAGAAUCCUAAAAAAAUACUACAUCUUCUCACUUUUUUUUCCUCUCAAAUCUCUGUCUCUAUUAUUUUCCUCUCUCUUCUUUCUCUUCUCUCCCUCUAUUAUUUUCUCUUCCUUCUCUUUUCUCUCUCAAAUUAUCUCUCUUCUUUCUUUCUCUCUUCUUUCUCUUCUCUUUCUAAAAAUAUAUGGCCUUUUAACUAUGAAGCAUAUGAGGGUAUAUAUAACAGAGGCUAGGAUUUAAAAUUGAGAUCUUUGAUUUUUGAAGGAUUUUGGGUGAUAAAAGGAUGAUCCCUGAUACAUUUUCCAUACAAAGAAAAAUUAACCAAAAUUGUAAAACAAAAUAUCUCACCACCCUCGCCAAGCUAUCAAUCCGGCUUUGUGGGUUGGACCAGGCUGCUGGUCUAACACCUUAGGCUUGCCCAAUAGGCUGGACCAGGGAGCUCUGCCUUGGCGAGUGGAUUGGGUAAAAGGAAAAAAAAAA